rnacentral:rRNA from 1 species
UACGUAGGGGGCAAGCGUUGUCCGGAAUCAUUGGGCGUAAAGAGCGUGUAGGCGGUCCGGUAAGUCGGCUGUGAAAGUCCAGGGCUCAACCCUGGGAUGCCGGUCGAUACUGCCGGACUAGAGUUCGGAAGAGGCGAGUGGAAUUCCCGGUGUAGCGGUGAAAUGCGCAGAUAUCGGGGAAGAACACCUAUGGCGAAGGCAGCUCUCUGGGACGGUACUGACGCUGAGACGCGAAAAGCGUGGGGAGCGAACAGG